AGGCAGCAGUGGGGAAUAUUGCACAAUGGGCGCAAGCCUGAUGCAGCCAUGCCGCGUGUAUGAAGAAGGCCUUCGGGUUGUAAAGUACUUUCAGCAGUGAGGAAGGUGGGUAUGUUAAUAGCAUAUUCAUUUGACGUUAGCUGCAGAAGAAGCACCGGCUAACUCCGUGCCAGCAGCCGCGGUAAUACGGAGGGUGCGAGCGUUAAUCGGAAUUACUGGGCGUAAAAGCGCAUGCAGGUGGUUUGUUAAGUCAGAUGUGAAAGCCCGGGGCUCAACCUCGGAAUUGCAUUUGAAAACUGGCAAACUAGAGUACUGUAGAGGGGGUAGAAUUUCAGGUGUAGCGGUGAAAUGCGUAGAGAUCUGAAGGAAUACCGGUGGCGAAGGCGGCCCCCUGGACAGAUACUGACACUCAGAUGCGAAAGCGUGGGGAGCAAACAGGAUUAGAUACCCUGGUAG
rnacentral:rRNA from 1 species